UACAGAGGUCUCAAGCGUUGUUCGGAUUCAUUGGGCGUGAAGGGUGCGUAGGUGGCGCUGUAAGUCGGGUGUGAAAUUUCGGAGCUUAACUCCGAAACUGCAUUCGAUACUGCGGUGCUUGAGGACUGGAGAGGAGACUGGAAUUCAUGGUGUAGCAGUGAAAUGCGCAGAUAUCGGGAGGAACACCAAUGGCGAAGGCAGCUCGCUGGGACGGUACUGACGCUGAGGCGCGAAAGCGUGGGGAGCAAACAGG
rnacentral:rRNA from 1 species